rnacentral:rRNA from 1 species
CGGGUUGUAAAGCUCUUUUGUCAGGGAAGAAACGGUGAGGGCUAAUAUCUCUUGCUAAUGACGGUACCUGAAGAAUAAGCACCGGCUAACUAACGUGC